rnacentral:rRNA from 1 species
UAGGGAAUAUUGCUUAAUGGGCGCAAGCCUGAAGCAGCAACGCCGCGUGUGCGAUGAAGGCCUUCGGGUCGUAAAGCACUUUUGGACGGGAAGAGGAAGGACGGUACCGUUCGAAUAAGCCUCGGCUAACUACGUGCCAGCAGCCGCGGUAAAACGUAGGAGGCGAGCGUUAUCCGGAUUUACUGGGUGUAAAGCGCGUGCAGGCGGUUCGGUAAGUUGGGUGUGAAAGCUCCUGGCUCAACUGGGAGAGGUCGCUCAAAACUGGCGAACUGGAGAGUGGUAGGGGAAGGUGGAAUUCCGGGUGUAGUGGUGAAAUGCGUAGAUAUCCGGAGGAACACCAGUGGCGAAAGCGGCCUUCUGGACCAUUUCUGACGCUCAGACGCGAAAGCUAGGGUAGCAAACG